AUUGAACGCUGGCGGCAUGCCUUACACAUGCAAGUCGAACGGCAGCGGGGACUUCGGUCCGCCGGCGAGUGGCGAACGGGUGAGUAAUGUAUCGGAACGUACCUUUCAGUGGGGGAUAACGUAGCGAAAGUUACGCUAAUACCGCAUAUUCUGUGAGCAGGAAAGCAGGGGAUCGCAAGACCUUGCGCUGAUUGAGCGGCCGAUAUCAGAUUAGCUAGUUGGUGGGGUAAAGGCCUACCAAGGCUACGAUCUGUAGCGGGUCUGAGAGGAUGAUCCGCCACACUGGGACUGAGACACGGCCCAGACUCCUACGGGAGGCAGCAGUGGGGAAUUUUGGACAAUGGGGGCAACCCUGAUCCAGCCAUGCCGCGUGAGUGUAGAAGGCCUUCGGGUUGUAAAGCUCUUUCGGCCGGGAAGAAAUCGCACAGGCUAAUACCUUGUGUGGAUGACGGUACCGGAAUAAGAAGCACCGGCUACCUACGUGCCAGCCGCCGCCGUAAUAC
rnacentral:rRNA from 1 species